UACGGAGGGUGCGAGCGUUGUCCGGAAUCACUGGGCGUAAAGGGCGCGUAGGUGGCCGAGCAAGGUCGCGGUGAAAGCUUGGGGCUCAACCCCAAGUCGGCCGUGGCAACUACUUGGCUUGAGCACUGUAGGGGCGGGUGGAAUUCCGGGUGUAGCGGUGGAAUGCGUAGAGAUCGGGAAGAACAUCAGUGGCGAAGGCGGCCUGCUGGGCUGUUGCUGACGCUGAGGCGCGACAGCGUGGGGAGCAAACAGG
rnacentral:rRNA from 1 species